GGAACGCCAAGUUCCUGCCCUCAAAACUGUUCCUUUUGAUGAGAUUGAGGAGAAGGCAUUAGUUUCUCUGGCUGAGUUACACUUCUUCAGAGACUUUCUUUAUCUCUUCCACGAAAGACUUCUUGUCUUCUUCUCUUGUGGAGUCACUCCUUUUGACUGGCAUUGUCUCAAUGGAUAUCUAUUUCUUAUCUUGAAUCUGGAGUAUCACACAAAUUGCAAACUGCUCACUCAACAGAAGUAAGGGAAGGGAGGAGAUUUCUAGGCUAACUACUUCACGGUAGUGACCCCACGAGCAGCGACCUCUUAGCGCCGACGAUGCGGAUUCUAGCCAUGCAGUCCAAGCACGACCACGUCCAAUGAUGGCGGUUGGCUCAGUGGAAAGAUAGAAGAAGACAAGAAAAGAGAAAGCCCUACUCAUAGAAUCCAGCCACUAUCCACCA